ACGCUCGACACCUACGGGAGACAGCAGUGGGGAAUAUUGCACAAUGGGGGAAACCCUGAUGCAGCGACGCCGCGUGGAGGAAGAAGGUCUUCGGAUUGUAAACUCCUGUUGUUGGGGAAAAAGAGGAUGGUACCCAACAAGGAAGUGACGGCUAACUACGUGCCAGCAGCCGAGGUAAUCUGAGCGGGCUGGCAAGGC
rnacentral:rRNA from 1 species